UGAUCCAGCCAUGCCGCGUGCAGGAAGAAUGCCCUAUGGGUAGUAAACUGCUUUUAUACAGGAAGAAAAAAAGCUACGUGUAGCUUAUUGACGGUACUGUAAGAAUAAGGACCGGCUAACUCCGUGCCAGCAGCCGCAGUAAUACGGAGGGUCCGAGCGUUAUCCGGAAUUAUUGGGUUUAAAGGGUCCGUAGGCGGGCGAUUAAGUCAGUGGUGAAAGUCUGCAGCUCAACUGUAGAAUUGCCUUUGAUACUGGUCGUCUUGAGUUAUAGUGAAGUUGCCGGAAUAUGUAGUGUAGCGGUGAAAUGCAUAGAUAUUACAUAGAACGCCGAUUGCGAAGGCAGGUGACUAACUAUAUACUGACGCUGAGGGACGAAAGCGUGGGGAGCGAACAGGAUUAGAUACCCUGGUAGUCCACGCCGUAAACGAUGGAUACUAGCUGUCCGGAACCUUGAGUUCUGGGCGGCCAAGCGAAAGUGAUAAGUAUCCCACCUGGGGAGUACGUUCGCAAGAAUGAAACUCAAAGGAAUUGACGGGGGCCCGCACAAGCGGUGAAGCAUGUGGUUUAAUUCGAUGAUACGCGAGGAACCUUACCAGGGCUUAAAUGCAUAUUGACAGGGGUAGAGAUACCUUUUCCUUCGGGCAAUUUGCAAGGUGCUGCAUGGUUGUCGUCAGCUCGUGCCGUGAGGUGUCAGGUUAAGUCCUAUAACGAGCGCAACCCCUGUUGUUAGUUGCCAGCGAGUCAUGUCGGGAACUCUAACAAGACUGCCGGUGCAAACCGCGAGGAAGGUGGGGAUGACGUCAAAUCAUCACGGCCCUUACGUCCUGGGCCACACACGUGCUACAAUGGUAGGUACAGAGAGCAGCCACUGGGCGACCAGGAGCGAAUCUUCAAAACCUAUCUCAGUUCGAAUCGGAGUCUGCAACUCGGCUCCGUGAAGCUGGAAUCGCUAGUAAUCGGAUAUCAGCCAUGAUCCGGUGAAUACGUUCCCGGGCCUUGUACACACCGCCCGUCAAGCCAUGGAAGCUGGGGGCACCUGAAGUCGGUCACCGCAAGGAGCCGCCUAGGGUGAAACUGGUAACUAGGGCUAAGUCGUAACAAGGUAGC
rnacentral:rRNA from 1 species